rnacentral:rRNA from 1 species
UACAGAGGGUGCAAGCGUUGUUCGGAAUUACUGGGCGUAAAGGGCGCGUAGGCGGUUUACCAAGUCAGAUGUGAAAGCCCGGGGCUCAACCCCGGAAGUGCAUUUGAAACUGGUAGGCUAGAGUGCAGUAGAGAAUGGCGGAAUUCCCAGUGGAGAGGUGAAAUUCGUAGAUAUUGGGAGGAACACCGGUGGCGAAGGCGGCCAUUUGGGCUGUAACUGACGCUGAGGCGCGAGAGCGUGGGUAGCAAACAGG